AGGGAAAUCUGGUUUUAAUUAGAAGAUCUUACUCGAUAAGAUUUUGAUGCCUGUUUUUUUUUUCAAUGAACUUCUACCGAAUUUAUGAAUGAAGGCUCUGGAAGAUCUGAUGAAACACCUAAGUCCGUCCCCAUUGGGAGGGAAGGUCUGACCGAGUAUGAAGCUCAUGGAGUCUACGCUCUGCAGCCAUCGUGAUCAGGGUGGAGUUUGGCUUCUCCCUCUUCUGGUUGGUUCUCUGUUAUCGUCAGCCCCGCCGACAGCCCCUCUUGUGUUUGAGUUCCCUCUGCAGCUCUGCCCCGUGUCCUGUUCCACCACACGUCCUGUUCCCAGGAAUAACAGUCAGGUGUCGACCUCAGAGGCGUGGACACUCAACUUUAGCACCGGGCCAACAAACGUUGCUGAGCGGCGAAUAUGGAAAGAAGGGGUGCAACAUUUAUCAAGUCUAUUCAUGUUAGAUGUGCUUGACACUUGAAAAUCCUGAAUCGGUCUCACAAAGGCGUAGCUUGAUUUUUCUUUUUUUUCUUUGGUUGGCUACAGAAAACGAGAAGUAUUUAGUGGUAGUGUAGCUCUUUAUUCUUAACAUUUCUGUCCUGUCUGUCCUAAAUCAACUAGCAACAUGCUCACAGUUAUUGCCCCUGAGGUUGCAAUCAUAGAGGCCUCAAUUUGGCAAGAAUAGACAGAAAAAAAAGUAGCGGCAAAAAUAACUCUCUCUCUUUCAGGGUACAUUGGGUACAUUGAGACGGACCUGAGGAAAAUAUAACCCUGUCAUUUUAGCUUUUCUUUACAAACCUCUCCCCACAAAAAGUUGUGUGAUGGUACAUUUGUUUAAAAAAGUAUUACUAUGUCAAUGUGUGUUGAUUUAAAAACAUUAUACAGUACUCUGGGAACCACAUGGAUACCACGUCAAGUACGAUGGACAUACGUAGUAUCUAGAUAUGCAUAUGUAAUAGCUCUAGAUAAUCCCAAACAUAAAAAAGUUGUUGUUCCUACAGUCAACUUUCUUUGUAUCAUCUUUGCGUCCCAUCCGUCCAAGCAUGUUCAAUUAUGAAGUGAAACACCUACACUUGAUUCGUUAACAGCUCUUUCGUCCAUUAAACACAGAACAGGUUCGUUAGCACAUCUCACAUAGAGAGAAGGUGAGUCAAUCACCCUUCCACUUCUACGAAAAGGAAGGUUGCUGCGGAAGCGUUGGACUUUCAGAAUGCUGUGCGAUUGUCAAUGAUCUCCCCUUGUGUUUGACACAAGAGGCCUUAUCUGCUCAGCCAACAAAUCUUAUCAAGACUGGUUAAUCAUUGAUCCGUCACGGCAAGUUGGAGGUUGUGAUAUCGGAAGGGGUCAUUUCUGAACCCUUUUUAUUCCGCUUAACAGGAUCCUCAAAGAACCCCGCAAAUCAGCCAAAUUCAGAGAGUGCUCUGAAUAGUUACGAUUUAAACGAGGUGUUUAGUUCCCCCCCCCGGUACAGUAUGUUCCUCCAUCUGAGCUGAGAUUACCAUGAGCUAAUUAAUCCUAAACACAAACUGAGCUUCGGCUGACUCCGUGUCCCAUGUUGUGUAAAUUGUACGGCCGUGCAUUUUUGAAUGCUUUAAGGAACAAGGGCGACGGUAGAGACGUGUUAAGACAACAAUGGAGGAUGGUGGCGAUUAAUACUUAUAGUAUUAACGCAGUAGACUUUAGCUUUGUAAAAUUACAUGGCAUACGGCCUACCAUAAUUUGACCUCAGAAGUCGACCUCUCACACACAGAGGUUUUGUAAAAAGAUUAGACCUCUGUGAAGGAUUCAGGAUACUCUUUUAGUGCAUGCGGACGUCCUUUAAGUAUCCUGUAUAUCGUUUUGGGUGCCCAGUUGUCCCGCUCGUGGUUGCGGUGCCCAGAUUUUAUUCAUGUCCCGCUUCCAACUCCAAUCAGCUGACAGAAGGUGUUAGUACUUUUCAUGUCGGAAAAUCUGAUAUUUUCACAGCCUCUGUGCGCCAAUUAUCUACAUACCUUUAAGAUCGUUUUUUUUUUUACUGUUUUACUGUUUGCACCACCAAUAGGAAAGCUGAAGCGCCGUAAAAUGUCCGGUGACAUACACACAUCAACAGCAUGCUUGCUGUGUUCCACAAGCUCUCAUAUUUUGUUUUGCGAUAGAAUAAUAAUAAUAAUAAUACAUACAAUAAUAUUACAUAAAGCACAAUAGCGGUCACAGAAGUACCUUUUGCAGUAUUAGUUUUGGCUACCGUUUUUUCAGGCUCAGUGGACGUGCUUUGUGCUGCAACACAAACAAGCUCAACAAGUUAAUUUCAGAAUAGUAGCUUUUCUUUUCUUCUAGAAGCUUAUCCAACAUUACUUAGUAUAAUAGAGAAGAAAAUAAAAGUAAAGCAAAGCUCAUUGAGUAUGUGUUAGACAUGAGGAGUGAAUUUGGGUGAGGUGGACCUCAAUAGGGGACUUAAGGUCAGGAGCUCGCAGCAGGAUCUUUCUGGGUUUAUGGUCUGUGGCUUGAAGUGAGUAAGACACGUACGCACAUCCGCAGCAAGUCCCUGGCUCGCUUUCAACAUCAGCACUCUGUUAAAAUGGUGAGAAAUGUGUCUAAUUAACGGAUCCAGUUCAACCUCUUGGUAUUUAGCAGCAUAGACUGUUCCCCCGUCUGCUCAUAUUUGUAUUAGUCACAGCGGCUGUCACGAUCACUUAUUUAAAGCGUACCAUUUAUCCUUCAGAAAGCAGGAUGUUUCAUAGAUUCAGACCCUUCCUGUUGUGGUGUUUACUCAGGACGUCUCCUCAUGCAUUAUGUGAGUGAACGCAAUUUGAGGUGAGUGCUCUGUUCUUCCCGGCACACUUACUUCUUUCACAUCUCAGGAGAGCUCAAGAGACAGUAAAAACAAAGAAGGCGGGGAUGCUCAGGCAGGGGGAAGAAAAGGACAGAAGACACUGGGAAGCCGCAGCGGAUGGUAAUGCUAAAAGAUUGCUCUCUUCACAUUUCACUUUUAACUUUAAAUAGUUUACUUACAAAGUGAUUGUUCACAUGUCUGGCCUCAGACACAAAUAAAAGCAGCAUUCGCUUACAGCAGUGUCAUUUUGUGUUGAGACAUCGGCAACAUCUGCAAGACGAGCAAAUGUGGCCAUUUAGCCGUUUUUUUGGGUGCAUCCAAAUAGAUAUUUUUCAGAUGACGAACUGCUUCUGUUUUUCGGACCAAGCCUGUGUUCGGGCUGAUCUACUUGCUCUACUUCUAUGGGUGUAGAUGAGUGUUUCAGGACCAUGGACAGAGGCUCAGACAAGUGCACAGUGUAAUUGAACGUUCUGCUGCUGGAGCCUCCCUCUUCCUCUUAACCUCAUCAUCACUAUGGUCACAGCAGGCGAUUAGAUUCAACAACAACAGACUGAAUCUGUUGGGGGAAUUAAUGUUGGUUGUAUUGAAUCUGACCAGAGUCCAGUUCUGUAUGUGUGGCCUUCACAGUUGGUGUGUGUCAUUGCGUCAGAGAGAGUAAUGUUCACGUAAUGUUCCCAGAAUUCUAGAACAGACCUAGAUAUGUGUUUAUUUCUGAACCUUGGUCUUUUCUUUCCAUAAGCAGCACACCGAGCAACGGUUUGUGCCCCAAACGUUUUGUUAUUUGCUUUCAUUCAGAUGCUUUGCUGGUUAUCCUGUUUUUCUAGACUUGGGACAAUCACAAUUUCACAGAUUCUGUCACAAUAGAAAAGAAUUGCACCAAAGCGGAAUUUGGGUUGCUGCACAACAAGCAGGACAAACGCUAAACCUGAAUCAGCUGCUGAAUUUCUCCCUCCCACAUGACGAAUCACUGGAUGACACACACUAUCUUUAGCUUGAUCACUCACCCCAGUGCCGAAAUGAGUUUGGGGAAGCGAAAAACACUUUCAAAUGGCCCCCCGUAGUUACUCAAUAGUUCUCCUUCGUGAGGAAAUACUGCAAGAAUUAUGCUGAAUUCACAGUUAAAAAGUGCAGAUGCAAAGUUAAAAAGAGGAUAUAUUUACUUGUAAAAAAGAACUCAUGUCUAACUUCGAGUCGAGUAAACUAUAAUAAUUGCCCCUGCUUUGAUCUUAUAUAUAGUAACUAUUUUUAAAUCCAUCAUAGUUUGAGAAAAUUGGCAGACGUACAAAAGGUACAUUUCCUCAGAAGUGAUCUUUGAACCGUAGGGCUUGAUACCGGCUGAUUGGGUACGACAAGGCUCCAACAGCCAUUGACCAUUGUUCACUCAAUCCGAUGCGGACUGCAUCAGUCCAUAGGGGAAGACUAUAUAGUCACAGCGAGUUCCCGUCACUCCUGCUAUUGCCUCUCUCGCGCGUCCGUGGGCUAACACUGAUACCUAAUCCUUCCCUUGCUCUAACAAGGGAAAUUAAAUGAUAGUUAAGGGCUCCAGCAUUACGCUAAAGUUCUACACACAUUCAGUACAUAAUAGAAAAUAGUCCGUGAAUGCAAAAAAAAGGCAACUAGACUCUACACAACUCUGGACGCACUUGCAUGUGACAGACAUCUUUUUCUUCUAUUUGCUGCUCUGGUAUCCAAGAAGAGGAGAGUCUACUUUAUCUUGUGUUUUGAAUGAACGAAAGAGGCAUUGAAUGUUAUUUGUCCAAUGGGAGUAAAUCCUCUCACACAAUCACUAUACAUACUCCUAACUAUUUUUUCCGUUUUGAUAAUAAAUAAAUAACUGCUGCUUUAAAAUACAUUUUAGUGACAACAGCAGGUGAAGGUUUUCAAGGGUUUGGAGUGUCAAUCAAGGGGUCUUAGACCCCACUGAGGCCCCCUGUCUUUGCACAAUGCAUAAGACCAUUCCGGUUUGUCUAACCACAUACCCACCAACGUCGUUACACAGCUCCACCGAGAGCUCACAGGUGACUGUCAACAUCAUGUAUUGCACCUGUGAAAAGACCCUUCGAUUUCUCAAAAGACAUCUCAUUCAGUUCAUUCGUUUCACUCUUCGUUCCUCUCUUCUUCCAGGUUCUGGGCACAGCAAAGCCUUCUGUUCAUCACUGGUUGGUCCGUGCCAGAGCCACUGCUCAUUACAGCCCCACAUCUGCACUCAAUAACAGGCCACACUCUGCAUGAAUAACGGCAGUGUUGCAAACAUGAGCGAAUGUCAGUGGAAGGCUUUAUUACUGCUUCUGGCAGAGAUGGAUGAGAAGGGGGGCCAACAAGAGAUCACACACAUUCUGCACCCCGCCUCUGUGAAAACAAAGCCUGUGGCAUUUAAGUAAGACUGGGAGACCGAAGCUUUAAUCUGACAGGCCACAGUGCACCCCAGACAGACCCGGGGAACAGCUGAAGAACGCGGCGGUGCCACACACACACGGGGGAAAGAGGAUGGUGCGAGACAACUUGUGUAAGGUUGAAGUUGCCCGCGGGGGGAUCUGGGCUCGUCUUCGCUUCGGGCCGGGCAUGUUCCUCGAAUCCCGACCCCAGGAAUUCCACGGCCCGUCAGAACUUUUAUUUCUAGUCCUACCUUGCGGCAUUUGCCAAAACACACAAUUCACUGAUCUCCUGCCGGCCAGAGGAGGGAAAUAGCUUCUAACGCUCAGGUAUUUGCUCUCAUGCAAAGUCCGGUUAGAAAGAAUUUGCUGCCGGCAACUAUUUCUCCACCACUCAUACGUACUGAUAAAGCACAAUCAGAUAAAGAAGCUCAGGGUCUCUCAUGGAAACGAUGGUGCCAAGAGUAAUUUUGAACUAUUUGAAAAAUGUUGUUUUUAAAUCCAUUGAUUUAUUAUAUAUAAAGCGUCAGCUUCAGGGCGGCUACCGCUGUCUGUGUCAGAAGCUUUUUGGGAACAGCUUUGGAAGUGAAACUCUCAGUAAACUGUGCCGGGGGUCAGUGCAGCCACACGAGGACAGCUGAGGGUACAUAAGGAAACGCACCGCCUCAUAUGGAAAACAACUUUAACAUUGUUGACACAAUUGAUUGUCUAGCAAGAACCGCGUAUUUAAUGAUGCUGGGACGCCCGGGCCUUGAGGCUGUAAAAAUGGUGUUUAUUUUAUGAUCUGGCGCAAAAGAGAGAGUGUCUCAGUGUAUAAGUAUGUCUUGCACAUGUAACACGAUGUGCCAAAUGUGUCACAGCACAUUAGGAUCUUAUUUAUUGUAUAUCCACAAAACCUUUGGGGUAAUAUCAUAUUUUUUAUAUAUUGUAUGCAUUCCUCUGCCUCAAUGUGUCCCUGCUAUGUUGCAAACGGACGAUAAACAGUAACUCAAUUACCUCAGUGACCCGGGAAAAUACGAUCACUUAAUGAUUAUGAGGGAAAGAAUAGGUAGUCGGAUGGGAGUGAAGUGAUAUAUGAGAGGGUAGACAAUAAAGCUAUUUGGAUCAUAACAGCGGUGGGGUGGCUUCUUAGGUCACGUUUCAGCACACUAUUUUUACGCUUUUUGUCAGCUCCCACUGCCAGUAUAAAGUACUUAAACUUUGGGAAAACCCCAAUAGUGAAGAAGCCACACAAAGCAGGGAAAUAUUACAUGUAUUUUGAUGUUGAAGGGAACAAAGGGGUGUUUUUUCCUACCAAGUGUUGUUUUUGUGGUGGUCUUGCUGGCUCAUUUUUCACACGUACAAUGGACAUAGUAAAUGAUGAAAAAAAGUGUUAUUGUGCACUUUAAUCUGCCUGUUUUCAGCUCUUCUCCCCCUCAUCCUUCCCCCCCCCCCUUCGACAAACCCGUUGCAGAUGACACAUGGGAGCUGAGCUGGCAGACACAUCAUCCCUUAUUAUUACACAGACCCUCCGGACUCUCCAUGCAGGGGACACAGAUGAGCAGGUCAUGCUGCUGGAAUGUGGACUGGGACAGGUGGAAAGGAACAUUCAGGGGGAGGGGG